GGCUCAGGAUGAACGCUGGCGGCGUGCCUAAUACAUGCAAGUCGAGCGAACAGACAAGGAGCUUGCUCCUUUGACGUUAGCGGCGGACGGGUGAGUAACACGUGGGUAACCUACCUAUAAGACUGGGAUAACUUCGGGAAACCGGAGCUAAUACCGGAUAAUAUUUCGAACCGCAUGGUUCGAUAGUGAAAGAUGGUUUUGCUAUCACUUAUAGAUGGACCCGCGCCGUAUUAGCUAGUUGGUAAGGUAACGGCUUACCAAGGCGACGAUACGUAGCCGACCUGAGAGGGUGAUCGGCCACACUGGAACUGAGACACGGUCCAGACUCCUACGGGAGGCAGCAGUAGGGAAUCUUCCGCAAUGGGCGAAAGCCUGACGGAGCAACGCCGCGUGAGUGAUGAAGGUCUUCGGAUCGUAAAACUCUGUUAUUAGGGAAGAACAUACGUGUAAGUAACUAUGCACGUCUUGACGGUACCUAAUCAGAAAGCCACGGCUAACUACGUGCCAGCAGCCGCGGUAAUACGUAGGUGGCAAGCGUUAUCCGGAAUUAUUGGGCGUAAAGCGCGCGUAGGCGGUUUUUUAAGUCUGAUGUGAAAGCCCACGGCUCAACCGUGGAGGGUCAUUGGAAACUGUAAAACUUGAGUGCAGAAGAGGAAAGUGGAAUUCCAUGUGUAGCGGUGAAAUGCGCAGAGAUAUGGAGGAACACCAGUGGCGAAGGCGACUUUCUGGUCUGUAACUGACGCUGAUGUGCGAAAGCGUGGGGAUCAAACAGGAUUAGAUACCCUGGUAGUCCACGCCGUAAACGAUGAGUGCUAAGUGUUAGGGGGUUUCCGCCCCUUAGUGCUGCAGCUAACGCAUUAAGCACUCCGCCUGGGGAGUACGACCGCAAGGUUGAAACUCAAAGGAAUUGACGGGGACCCGCACAAGCGGUGGAGCAUGUGGUUUAAUUCGAAGCAACGCGAAGAACCUUACCAAAUCUUGACAUCCUUUGACAACUCUAGAGAUAGAGCCUUCCCCUUCGGGGGACAAAGUGACAGGUGGUGCAUGGUUGUCGUCAGCUCGUGUCGUGAGAUGUUGGGUUAAGUCCCGCAACGAGCGCAACCCUUAAGCUUAGUUGCCAUCAUUAAGUUGGGCACUCUAAGUUGACUGCCGGUGACAAACCGGAGGAAGGUGGGGAUGACGUCAAAUCAUCAUGCCCCUUAUGAUUUGGGCUACACACGUGCUACAAUGGACAAUACAAAGGGCAGCGAAACCGCGAGGUCAAGCAAAUCCCAUAAAGUUGUUCUCAGUUCGGAUUGUAGUCUGCAACUCGACUACAUGAAGCUGGAAUCGCUAGUAAUCGUAGAUCAGCAUGCUACGGUGAAUACGUUCCCGGGUCUUGUACACACCGCCCGUCACACCACGAGAGUUUGUAACACCCGAAGCCGGUGGAGUAACCAUUUGGAGCUAGCCGUCGAAGGUGGGACAAAUGAUUGGGGUGAAGUCGUAACAAGG
rnacentral:rRNA from 1 species